AGCACCGAAGCCUGUGGUCGUUUGGCCUCUAGGCAAUGUGGUGUUCAGGUCAGCUCGCGGAGGUACUGCUCCACCCUAAGUCCUAUAAUGAGUAAGGUUACUCGGACGUGGCCCACAGAGGGUGAAAGGCCCGUGGGGGUGGAGACUCAGAUUGGCCAGUAUCUCCCUGAGUGGACCUUGGAGUCGGGUUGUUUGUGAAUGCAGCCCAAAGUGGGUGGUAAACUCCAUCCAAGGCUAAAUACUAGCACGAGUCCGAUAGCGAACAAGUACCGUGAGGGAAAGUUGAAAAGUACUUUGAAGAGAGAGUAAACAGUGCGUGAAACCGCUCAGAGGUAAACGGGUGGAGUUGAACUGCAAGCUCUGAGAAUUCAACUGGUGAGUAUGGCAUGAGCUGGGUAUAUUGGUUGACGGUCCGGGUCUGCUUAGCUGCAGGUCCUCGCCUUUUGGUGGGGAUGCGCGAAUCACUUACCAAGUGUUGUGCGCCCGGACUGUAUCGGACCUGCUUGCCAGUGCACUUUCUCAGAGUAAUCACCACGACCGGCGUUGCCGUCUGGCUGUUGUAGUUAAACCGGCCUCGUAGAGUCCUUGUGGCUUUGCUUGGUCGGGAUGGCAGGUAGCCCGUUGUGCACUUUUGUGUGCUUCGGGUGUUAUCGCUGACUGCAUCAGUUCUGUGCGGUACGUCGGAGACGGCGGCUUGUUGUGUGUGCGUGCGUACUUGUUAUGCUGGCGGGGCCGAGUCUGGUUGCCGUGUUGAUUGCAAAAGCAAUCCCGGUGAUGGCUUGGUGUCGUUCGGUGUGCAGUUGCGUGCGUGUCACUAUGCAGGGCCAAUAGUCUGUGGUGUAGUGGUAGACUAUCCACCUGACCCGUCUUGAAACACGGACCAAGGAGAGUAACAUGUGCGCGAGUCAUUGGGCGUUACGAAACCCAAAGGCGCAGUGAAAGUAAAGGUUCGGCUUGUCCGGACUGAGGUGAGAUCCUGCCGUUUCUCACGCGCGGUACUACCAAGCAUCGAGCGGCAGGCGCAUCACCGGCCCGUCCCAUGGCGUAGAGGCGACCUUGUG
rnacentral:rRNA from 1 species